GACAGAGGGUGCAAGCGUUGUUCGGAAUCAUUGGGCGUAAAGGGCGCGUAGGCCGCGCUGUGUGUCGAAUGUGAAAUACCUGGCUUAACCGAGGAAGUGCAUUCGAAACUACAGUGCUAGAAUCCCAAAGAGGUUGGUGGAAUUCCCAGUGUAGAGGUGAAAUUCGUAAGAUAUUGGGGAGGAACAUCGGUGGCGAAAGG
rnacentral:rRNA from 1 species